AAUAUGGCUCUGGCGUCAGCUGUGAUACUGGGAGGAGAGGCAGGCCCCAGGGUGGGGCAGUCCAGGUAGCCUGAAAGAGAAGCAAGUUCCUGGCACACAGCUGAAGAAACACUCCUGGGGAUUCACCUGGUAGCAAAACCUCCCCCUUGGCUUCCUCCUGUUGUUCACACAGCAGACCCAAAGCCUCACAGCCUGUGGAGAGACCGCACGUGUGGACGAGGCGGCUCAGUGAAGGAGAAGGCUGGGGUCCUGUAAUUAGGACAAGUGCACUGCGGGCUGAUGGAUCUCCAGGUACCAGAUGCUAACAGAGGAAGGGGCUGAGGGAGCCUGGCUGCCACAGGCUGCAGAAAGCUUCCAGGACCCAAUGAGUCAUAAAACCUGGAACGGCUGGGUCACCUUUCUGCAAUGGUUUCCGAUCAACCUAAUGCUGAGUACUGAGAAGUGAUGGGAGUGGAGAGGCUUCAGGAAAAGACUGGCGGGCUUAUUGAUUGAUUGACUGAUUGACUGACUGAACAAGUCGCU
rnacentral:lncRNA from 1 species